UAUUACAGAGUAAAAGGUGAAAGAUUGUUAGUCCAUACUAUGCCUAUGCAGAAAAGCAGAAGAAACCCGGAAUCAUCUAUUCUUCAACACAUCAAUGGGACAAACAACUACCUUUCUGUUCAGAUAUGCGUUCCGAUCUGCCAUCGAUCAUAUUUGGAGAGGAUGAAACCGACGCACGGCGAGAAACCUCUACCAAAAGCUGUUCAAAUCAGGAAAUAGACGUAUCAGGACAGGAUGGCGAAGUGGCUUGAAUACUCUUCGACAACAACAUCAACAACUUCAGCAGAUGAGUGGAAUGUCGAUUUUGUGGUUUGAUAAUUGACCAUUCAAUUCAAAAAAAGUUACAAAAAUUUAAGGAAUUUUCAAUAAUAUCUAUCUAUCUAUAUAUAUAUAUAUAAAAAUAUGUUAGCUUCCCUCUUCCACGUCACUAAAUAGCUUAAUAUAGUGGUGACAUGUGUCCCAUUUAGCAAAGUGAUGCGUUUCAUUUAUCGUCUUCAUGAACCAGGCAAUGUUUCUAGGGUUUCGUCUCUUGUUCUGUCUUCAACACCAAAACAUUUCUUCUGUGUUCUGAAACCAAAACGAUGGACUGGCGAGGCGGAGAGAAAAAUAUAGAACGGCUGAGAGAUCAGAUCCGUUGUUGAAGCUCGAUUGUGAUGCGUUUUAGAAGCAUGGUCUGGAAAUCUUCUACGAGGGCUGACUUUAUCUACGGAGAUAGCUCGAUGGGUUCGAUCACAUGCUCUGUUCUGUAAUUUGUUUCUUCGUUGAGGUUGAAUCGAAGAACAGAGGUCGGAGACCAGAGGCUCUGUAGUGGAUUUGUUUACCAUCAUCUACCUUUUUUCUGAAACUUUACCAUCAUCUACCUUUCAACAACUUUUCGAU